UACGUAGGGUGCAAGCGUUAAUCGGAAUUACUGGGCGUAAAGCGUGCGCAGGCGGUUAUAUAAGACAGAUGUGAAAUCCCCGAGCUUAACUUGGGAACUGCAUUUGUGACUGUAUAGCUAGAGUACGGCAGAGGGGGAUGGAAUUCCGCGUGUAGCAGUGAAAUGCGUAGAUAUGCGGAGGAACACCGAUGGCGAAGGCAAUCCCCUGGGCCUGUACUGACGCUCAUGCACGAAAGCGUGGGGAGCAAACAGGAUUAGAUACCCCAGUAGUCC
rnacentral:rRNA from 1 species